UGGGGAAUUUUGGACAAUGGGCGAAAGCCUGAUCCAGCAAUGCCGCGUGUGUGAAGAAGGCCUUCGGGUUGUAAAGCACUUUUGUCCGGAAAGAAAUCCUUGGCUCUAAUACAGUCGGGGGAUGACGGUACCGGAAGAAUAAGCACCGGCUAACUACGUGCCAGCAGCCGCGGUAAUACGUAGGGUGCAAGCGUUAAUCGGAAUUACUGGGCGUAAAGCGUGCGCAGGCGGUUUGCUAAGACCGAUGUGAAAUCCCCGGGCUCAACCUGGGAACUGCAUUGGGUGACUGGCAGGCUAGAGUAUGGCAGAGGGGGGUAGAAUUCCACGUGUAGCAGUGAAAUGCGUAGAGAUGUGGAGGAAUACCGAUGGCGAAGGCAGCCCCCUGGGCCAAUACUGACGCUCAUGCACGAAAGCGUGGGGAGCAAACAGGAUUAGAUACCCUGGUAGUCCACGCCCUAAACGAUGUCAACUAGUUGUUGGGGACUUCAUUUCCUUAGUAACGUAGCUAACGCGUGAAGUUGACCGCCUGGGGAGUACGGUCGCAAGAUUAAAACUCAAAGGAAUUGACGGGGUCAUA
rnacentral:rRNA from 1 species